GACAGAGGGUGCAAACGUUGUUCGGAAUUACUGGGCGUAAAGGGCGCGCAGGCGGCUGCUCAAGUCAGGCGUGAAAGGCCUGGGCUCAACCCGGGAAUUGCGCUUGAGACUGGGCUGGCUUGAGUGCGGGAGAGGAUGGUGGAAUUCCCAGUGUAGAGGUGAAAUUCGUAGAUAUUGGGAAGAACACCGGUGGCGAAGGCGGCCAUCUGGACCGCAACUGACGCUGAGGCGCGAAAGCGUGGGGAGCAAACGGG
rnacentral:rRNA from 1 species